GUCCAUGGCCAUGCUACCCUGAACACACCCGAUCUUUUCUGAUCUCAGGAGCUAAGCGGGGUUGGGUCUGGUUAGUACUUGGUUGGGAGAAAGGAGAAGAGGGAAGGAGAAAGAUAAGGGGU
rfam:Homo sapiens chromosome 3, GRCh38 reference primary assembly.